UAAUAGGUUUUAAUUAAAACUACUCAUUUUGACAAAAAAUAUUUU
rfam:Aptenodytes forsteri contig36134, whole genome shotgun sequence.